rnacentral:rRNA from 1 species
GACGUAGGGUGCGAGCGUUGUCCGGAAUUAUUGGGCGUAAAGAGCUCGUAGGCGGUCUGUCGCGUCUGCUGUGAAAACCCGAGGCUCAACCUCGGGCCUGCAGUGGGUACGGGCAGACUAGAGUGCGGUAGGGGAGAAUGGAACUCCUGGUGUAGCGGUGGAAUGCGCAGAUAUCAGGAAGAACACCGAUGGCGAAGGCAGUUCUCUGGGCCGUAACUGACGCUGAGGAGCGAAAGCGUGGGGAGCGAACAGG